AAUAAAAAUCUAACUCUUUACUUCUGAUCUGCAGUAUCCUCUCAGAUUCUGAACACAUCAACCCCUCCUGACAUGUCAUCUUUCCAGUUUAGGAUAGCAAAACAUCAAUGUAUGUGCCAAAGUAGAAUUCAUCAACUUUAGCCUUGAUCUCUUUGAUCAGCUCAUCGUCUCUACACACCCUAUCUACAUUGAAGUCACCCCUUGUAUUUGUCACCAGAUCACACCAAGCUAAGCCAGUAACCAUCAGCUGACCUUGGACUUGCCAAUGGGCACUUAACUUCUACCAGGCCAUUUGAAGGUUCUUCAUUUGGGUGCACCACUUUGCCAUCUGGACUUGCAC